UGAGCCAAGUUUAGGGUUUUCUCAAAACCCAAGCAGUAUUGAACUGAAGAGUUUGAUCAUGGCUCAGAUUGAACGCUGGCGGCAGGCUUUACACAUGCAAGUCGAGCGGUAACAUUUCUAGCUUGCUAGAAGAUGACGAGCGGCGGACGGGGGAGUAAUACU
rnacentral:rRNA from 1 species